UCGAGAAUCUUCGGCAAUGGGCGCAAGCCUGACCGAGCGACGCCGCGUGGAGGAUGAAGGCCUUCGGGUUGUAAACUCCUGUCGAGGGGGAAAAAGGGUUGAAAGACCUUGAUUGAUCCCUGGAGGAAGCACGGGCUAAGUUCGUGCCAGCAGCCGCGGUAAGACGAACCGUGCGAACGUUAUUCGGAAUCAUUGGGCUUAAAGCGCGUGUAGGCGGGUUCGUGCGUCUGUCGCUGAAAUCCCCCGGCUCAACCGGGGAAGGGGCGCGGAUACGACGAGUCUGGAGGGGCAUAGGGGGACCUGGAACUUCCGGUGGAGCGGUGAAAUGCGUUGAGAUCGGAAGGAACGCCCGUGGCGAAAGCGAGGUCCUGGAUGCUUACUGACGCUGAGACGCGAAAGCCAGGGGAGCGAACG
rnacentral:rRNA from 1 species